UGGGGAAUAUUGCACAAUGGGCGCAAGCCUGAUGCAGCCAUGCCGCGUGUAUGAAGAAGGCCUUCGGGUUGUAAAGUACUUUCAGCGAGGAGGAAGGCGGUAAGGUUAAUAACCUUAUCGAUUGACGUUACUCGCAGAAGAAGCACCGGCUAACUCCGUGCCAGCAGCCGCGGUAAUACGGAGGGUGCAAGCGUUAAUCGGAAUUACUGGGCGUAAAGCGCACGCAGGCGGUCUGUCAAGUCGGAUGUGAAAUCCCCGGGCUCAACCUGGGAACUGCAUUCGAAACUGGCAGGCUAGAGUCUUGUAGAGGGGGGUUGAAUUCCAGGUGUAGCGGUGAAAUGCGUAGAGAUCUGGAGGAAUACCGGUGGCGAAGGCGGCCCCCUGGACAAAGACUGACGCUCAGGUGCGAAAGCGUGGGGAGCAAACA
rnacentral:rRNA from 1 species